rfam:Schistosoma mattheei strain Denwood, Zambia genome assembly, scaffold: SMTD_scaffold0013863
AUCCUCUGAUGAGUCCCAAAUAGGGCGAAACAAGCGUCCUAGAU